rnacentral:rRNA from 1 species
GACGAACGCUGGCGGCGUGCUUAACACAUGCAAGUCGAACGGAAAGGCCCUGCUUUUGUGGGGUGCUCGAGUGGCGAACGGGUGAGUAACACGUGAGUAACCUGCCCUUGACUUUGGGAUAACUUCAGGAAACUGGGGCUAAUACCGGAUAGGAUCUCCUGCUGCAUGGUGGGGGUUGGAAAGUUUCGGCGGUUGGGGUUGGACUCGCGGCUUAUCAGCUUGUUGGUGGGGUAGUGGCUUACCAAGGCUUUGACCGGUAGCCGGCCUGGGAGGGGGACCGGCCACAUUGGGACUGAGAUACGGCACAGACUCCUACGGGAGGCAGCAGUGGGGAGUAUUGCACAAUGGGCGGAAGCCUGAUGCAGCAACGCCGCGUGCGGGAUGACGGCCUUCGGGUUGUGAACCGCAUCCGCCUGUGACGAAGCGUGAGUGACGGUAAUGGGUAAAGAAGCACCGGCUAACUACGUG